rnacentral:lncRNA from 1 species
GUGAGGGAAUCCGGCCCCCGAAAGCUGAAAGGUCCUGGUCGGCUAGGUCCAGGGUGUGCCAGUGUAGACAGCCUGCUGUGGGGUGUAGCCUGCGGCCUUGGCGCCCCCCCCCCCCCCGCCAGAGCGGUGCCAUGGGGGGCUGUAGGAGCUGGGCCUGGGGGAAGGGGAUUAGGUCCCUGGGGUGUGGCCCUGCGGGGGCUGUUGGGACCCCGCCCCUUUCUGUCGCUCUCUGCUUCCCAGUGGCCAGGUAGGGGCGCAGUUCUUCCAUGACUUCUGAGUCCCCACAACCCCAAAACAUUGGAGCCAGGCGACUGGGACUGGAACCUCUGAGACCUAGCAAAAAGAUAAACCUUUCCUCUGUCUAAGUCAAUAGCUUAAUUAUUUUGUCAUAGUGUCAGGAAGCUAACACAGCAGGUUUAUAUAUAAAAUGCAGAAUGCUGAUGGGUUGUUUAUUGUCCCUGGGAAUUGUGUAGCCCUGGGGUAGGGCACCCUCCAGGGUUGGAUGUCAAAGUUUCCUAAAAUACAGAAAAUGAAAAAGGCAAAGUGAAUAUACCUUUGGAGUAGAAAGAGCUUCUCAAAAAGAUGGGCACACAGAACAGUUCUCAGCAAAUUUGAGAGAAAGGAACACAGAUUUCCCAUCAUUUCUUGCCUCUUGCCAGUAUCUCCUACUGAAGGGGAACAGUUGUCACAGAAGAUGAACCUAUGUGAUGUGGCAUCUUCAUCCAGCAUCCACAGGCGACAUCGGGCCCACACUUCGUGUCUGACCCUGUGGACUGAUGACAUGUGUCCACUGUUGUGGUGUUGUGCCGAGGAGUUUCACUGCCUGGAAAGUCCCCUGUGCUCCACCUGGUCAUCCUCCCUCCUCGCUCUGUAACCACCCAUUAUUUUACCUUUUCCA